AUGAACGCUGGCGGCGUGCCUAAUACAUGCAAGUCGCGCGAACGGACGAGAAGCUUGCUUCUCUGAUGUUAGCGGCGGACGGGUGAGUAACACGUGGAUAACCUACCUAUAAGACUGGGAUAACUUCGGGAAACCGGAGCUAAUACCGGAUAAUAUUUUGAACCGCAUGGUUCAAAAGUGAAAGACGGUCUUGCUGUCACUUAUAGAUGGAUCCGCGCUGCAUUAGCUAGUUGGUAAGGUAACGGCUUACCAAGGCAACGAUGCAUAGCCGACCUGAGAGGGUGAUCGGCCACACUGGAACUGAGACACGGUCCAGACUCCUACGGGAGGCAGCAGUAGGGAAUCUUACGCAAUGGGCGAAAGCCUGACGGAGCAACGCCGCGUGAGUGAUGAAGGUCUUCGGAUCGUAAAACUCUGUUAUUAGGGAAGAACAUAUGUGUAAGUAACUGUGCACAUCUUGACGGUACCUAAUCAGAAAGCCACGGCUAACUACGUG
rnacentral:rRNA from 1 species